UUUUGACCACACCCUUUUAAAGUCCUGCAUCAUGAAUAGAGGUCCAUCUCCUCCUGUUUCUGGGACUCCUUUCUUCAAUUUACUAAUAUAUUCACUUAUGAUGAUAGUCCUACCAAUUGGAGGUUUCUUUUCAUCUAAAUAUUUCAUUUUUGAAGUAUUGUUGGGAUAUUCUGAUGGUUCUGUUGGUGCUGCCAUUGUUGCAGUCAUUCUAGUACACAUUGUCAUUGGGCUGUAUGUGUAUGCUGCUUGGAAAGAAGGCCCAACAAAGACGGAUUAAUUUUUUUUCUAUUGCUUUAUAAUUAUUAACAAUUUAAAUAAACUAUACCAAAAAUUUCAGAAAU